UUGAUGAUCUCACUUUAGAACCUAGAAUUCCGCAUUCUACACCCUCAGAGUUGUUCUCUGAGCAUUUUCCAGCUAGCCUGCAGGCACUAUAAUAGUAUUCAUUUAUAUAUGAUCUAUAUGUAGUGUGAUAAUGUCUAUUUUUUUCCUCUAGUGGAAGUUAAGAACAACACCAAAAGACAUUUCAUCCAAGGAAUCUGCACUGUUUGUCCUUUCCCAGAGGAACGAGGAGAGCAGCGGUGGCCGGGCAGUCUGGGGGCACCUGGACAUUCACUCACUCGAGGAAGACAUCUAUGUGCUGCUGACUCCCCCGGCCUCUGACCGCCUUCUGUCGUGUCACAUCCCCUGGCAGUUGUGACACCCACACACAUGUCCACCAGCAAUCUUCCUCUGUGACCUCACCACACAUGAAGGAACUGGGCAGACCUGCUCGGUCACCUGCUUGUGCAUCUCUGUCCCACCUGAGAGCUUCCACAGGCCCCGGUGCCUUCUUCCUCUUUGCCAUGUGUCU